AGCUGUACAAAUGUGACAUUUUAUAGAUAAUAAUAAAGUCGUCAUAUUAUGUGCAGCAGU
rnacentral:pre_miRNA from 1 species